rnacentral:rRNA from 1 species
GCCAUUCCGCGUGCAGGACGAAGGCCUUCGGGUUGUAAACUGCUUUUGUACGGAACGAAAAGGUCUCUAUUAAUACUAGGGGCUCAUGACGGUACCGUAAGAAUAAGCACCGGCUAACUACGUGCCAGCAGCCGCGGUAAUACGUAGGGUGCAAGCGUUAAUCGGAAUUACUGGGCGUAAAGCGUGCGCAGGCGGUUAUAUAAGACAGAUGUGAAAUCCCCGGGCUCAACCUGGGAACUGCAUUUGUGACUGUAUAGCUGGAGUGCGGCAGAGGGGGAUGGAAUUCCGCGUGUAGCAGUGAAAUGCGUAGAUAUGCGGAGGAACACCGAUGGCGAAGGCAAUCCCCUGGGCCUGCACUGACGCUCAUGCACGAAAGCGUGGGGAGCAAACAGGAUUAAAUACCCUGGUAGUCCACGCCCUAAACGAUGUCAACUGGUUGUUGGGUCUUCACUGACUCACUAACGAAGCU